AUCCACCCGCCUCGGCCUCCCAAAGUGCUCAGAUUACAGGCAUGAGCCACCGUGCCCAGCCCCAGAAUUUGUUUCCUAAUACCAUUCUCCAAUUUAAAAAAGUACCUGGAAGCAAUGACUGAUUUGAUAACUGGAGCAGGGAAUGUUCAAGAUGAGCCUGAAGCUUCUUGUAGUGCCAGAGAGUAGGACCAUAUUUUAGUCUUCCUACAAAAACCUGAUUAUCCUGAGCUUUCAACUUCAGCUCUAAAAGUGAUAGUUUGAGGCUUUACAAGUUACUCAGUCUACUGAUGUGGUAUAGCACUUGAGUAAGUCUUUCAAAAUCAUAUAAAUGAUUUGCUGACAUUUUCAGUAUCAGGAGGAGAUACCUUUUUAUUUCAGUCCAGGCACCCACCACCAUACCCGGCUAAUUUUGUAUUUUUAGUAGAUAUGGGGUUUCACCAUGUUGGCCAGGCUGGUCUUGGACUGCUGUCCUCAAGUGAUCUGCCCACCUCGGCCUCCCAAAGUGCUAAGAUUACAGGCAUGAGCCAUGGUGCCCAGCCAUGAGUGGCUUUUAAUUUAAUGUUAUGAAGCAUAAACAACCAGAUCAAGAGAAAAAUCCAACAAUGGAAAUAUAGCAAUGAAAAAUAUACUAGUAAAU
rnacentral:lncRNA from 1 species